ensembl:snoRNA
GACCUGUGAUGACCUGAUUUUGCCAGAUGACUCUGCUGAUUAUAACCAUUACCGUUCCACUUUACUCUGAGGUU